rnacentral:rRNA from 1 species
GUUGAUUCUGCCGGAGGUUACUGCUAUCGAGGGGCGACUAAGCCAUGCGAGUCGAAUGUAGCAAUACAUGGCGUACUGCUCAGUAACACGUGGAUAACCUACCCUUGAGACGGGGAUAAACCCGGGAAACUGGGUAUAAUACCCGAUAGAUCUCGACUGCUGGAAUGCAUCGAGCUUGAAAGCUCCGGCGCUCAAGGAUGGGUCUGCGGCCUAUCAGGUAGUAGUGGGUGUAGCGUACCUACUAGCCUACGACGGGUACGGGUUGUGAGAGCAAGAGCCCGGAGAUGGAUUCUGAGACACGAAUCCAGGCCCUACGGGGUGCAGCAGGCGCGAAAACUUUACAAUGCUGGAAACAGCGAUAAGGGGACCUCGAGUGCCAGGUUACAAAUCUGGCUGUCGUGAUGCCUAAAAAGCAUUGCAUAGCAAGGGCCGGGCAAGACCGGUGCCAGCCGCCGCGGUAACACCGGCGGCUCGAGUGGUAACCGUUAUUAUUGGGUCUAAAGGGUCUGUAGCCGGCCGGAUAAGUCUCUUGGGAAAUCUGGCAGCUUAACUGUCAGGCUUUCAGGAGAUACUGUCUGGCUCGAGGCCGGGAGAGGUGAGAGGUACUUCAGGGGUAGGGGUGAAAUCUUGUAAUCCUUGAAGGACCACCAGUGGCGAAGGCGUCUCACCAGAACGGACCUGACGGCAAGGGACGAAAGCUAGGGGCACGAACCGGAUUAGAUACCCGGGUAGUCCUAGCCGUAAACGAUACUCGCUAGGUGUCAGGCAUGGCGCGACCGUGUCUGGUGCCGCAGGGAAGCCGUGAAGCGAGCCACCUGGGAAGUACGGCCGCAAGGCUGAAACUUACAGGAAUUGGCGGGGGAGCACCACAACGG